rnacentral:rRNA from 1 species
CCGGUGAUCGGCAUCGACCUGGGCACGACCUACUCGUGCGUGGCCGUGUACCGGAACGGGCGCGUGGAGAUCAUCGCCAACGAGCAGGGCAACCGCAUCACCCCCUCCUGGGUCGCCUUCACCGACUCCGGUGAGCGCCUCAUCGGCGAGGCCGCCAAGAACCAGGCCGCAGCCAACCCGCUCCGCACCGUCUACGACGCCAAGCGACUC